UCGAGAGGCUUCGGCAAUGGGGGAAACCCUGACCGAGCGACGCCGCGUGGGUGAUGAAGAUUCUCGGAUCGUAAAACCCUGUCAGGUGGGAUGAAAAACCAUUCGGUUAAUACCCGAGUGGCUUGACAGUACCACCAGAGGAAGCUCCGGCCAACUCCGUGCCAGCAGCCGCGGUAACACGGGGGGAGCAAGCGUUGUUCGGAUUCAUUGGGCGUAAAGAGCUCGUAGGCCGCUCUGUAAGUUAGAGGUGAAAGCCCGGGGCUCAACCCCGGAAUUGCCUUUAAGACUGCAUCGCUUGAAUCGCGGAGAGGUGAGUGGAAUUCCGAGUGUAGAGGUGAAAUUCGUAGAUAUUCGGAAGAACACCAGUGGCGAAGGCGGCUCACUGGACGCGUAUUGACGCUGAGGUACGAAAGCGUGGGGAGCAAACAGGAUUAGAUACCCCUGUAGUCCCUGAGCGGGCUGGCAAGGCGCAU
rnacentral:rRNA from 1 species